GUCUACUGCCUCAAUAUUCUUGAGGCACCAUAUACCAUCUGAUUUUGGAAGCAAACAGGGCCAACUCUGAUUAGGACUUGCAUGGGAGACCAUCCCCAAAUGUUAGGUGCCAUAGACU
rnacentral:rRNA from 11 species